ACUCCUACGGGAGGCAGCAGUGGGGAAUUUGGACAAUGGGCGAAAGCCUGAUCCAGCAAUGCCGCGUGCAGGAUGAAGGCCCUCGGGUUGUAAACUGCUUUUGUACGGAACGAAAGCAUGGGCUAAUAUCCCCGGGUCAUGACGGUACCGUAAGAAUAAGCACCGGCUAACUACGUGCCAGCAGCCGCGGUAAUACGUAGGGUGCAAGCGUUUAAUCGGAAUUACUGGGCGUAAAGCGUGCGCAGGCGGUUUUUGUAAGACAGUGGUGAAAUCCCCGGGCUCAACCUGGGAACUGCCAUUGUGACUGCAAGGCUAGAGUGCGGCAGAGGGGGAUGGAAUUCCGCGUGUAGCAGUGAAAUGCGUAGAUAUGCGGAGGAACACCGAUGGCGAAGGCAAUCCCUGGGCCUGCACUGACGCUCAUGCACGAAAGCGUGGGGAGCAACAGGAUUAGAUACCCUGGUAGCACAGAG
rnacentral:rRNA from 1 species